GCCACAUACAUAUUUUCACAGAUAUACAUGCACAUUAACAUACACAUACAAACACACUGGCACUCACACUGCUAUAUACACACACCCUGACACACAGAGACUGUCAUAUACACACAUACACUGACAUGCAUCAGACAUCCCAACAUGCAAAAACUAAUUUCAGGGAGGUGGCUUCACCACUAACUGCACCCCACACACGCAUCCACACACAAGCAUGCACGCCCUACAGAGAUACACAUACAGCCACCAACAUGUAUGAACAAGGACAUGAUAU